rnacentral:rRNA from 1 species
GACUACAGGGGUAUCUAAGCCUGUUCGCUCCCCACGCUUUCGUGCCUCAGCGUCAGUGUCGGUCCAGUGAACUGCCUUCGCAAUUGGUGUUCUGGGUCAUAUCUAAGCAUUUCACCGCUACAUGACACAUUCCAUCCACCUCGACCGAACUCAAGACUACCAGUUUCAAAGGCAAUUUUACGGUUGAGCCGCAAGAUUUCACCCCUGACUUAGUAGUCCGCCUACGCACCCUUUAAACCCAAUGAAUCCGGACAACGCUUGGAUCCUCCGUAUUACCGCGGCUGCUGGCACGGAGUUAGCCGAUCCUUAUUCCUACGGUACCGUCAAGCUCACACACGUAUGAGUGUUUCUUCCCGUAGAAAAGCAGUUUACAACCCAUAGGGCAGUCAUCCUGCACGCGGCAUGGCUGGGUCAGACUUUCGUCCAUUGCCCAAUAUUCCCCACUGCAGCCCCCCGUAGG